rnacentral:sRNA from 1 species
UCCAAGGGAUCCGAGGGAUCCAAGGGAUCCGAUGGAUCCGAUGGAUCCGAGGGAUCCGAUGGAUCCGAUGGAUCCGAUGGAUCCGAUGGAUCCGAGGGAUCCCUCGGAUCCCUUGGA